GAAGCCGGAGCUAAUACCGGAUAAUAUAUUGAACCGCAUGGUUAAAUAGUGAAAGACGGUUUUGCUGUCACUUAUAGAUGGAUCCGCGCCGCAUUAGCUAGUUGGUAAGGUAACGGGCUUACCAAGGCAACGAUGCGUAGCCGACCUGAGAGGGUGAUCGGCCACACUGGAACUGAGACACGGUCCAG
rnacentral:rRNA from 1 species